AAUAUAUCAUUGAACACCACUAUGCACUAUUAUUUACUGUGAAGAAUUCUUUAUACUGAGCCAGACUAUAGCAACUAAAACGGUUCUUUUAUCAAUAAGAAGAGUGCUACGCCUACCUGAGACUUGAUCUGCUCACUUCUUCCUUUGAUGUUCCUCACUCUGCACCAGGGGUCACAGUGCUGGCAGACAUGCCAUGAGAUUGUUAAUGAUCAGCACCUAUAAAUCCUCAUGGGCAGUGAAAUGCUGGAUGGGAGAGAGACUGUUUUCAACAAUAGCUGAUGUCUGCAUCAGCAACAAAAACAGUCUCUGAGCACUGGCAUCAAGGAGCAUUUGAUGUGAACAAAGUGACAUCUUGUUUCAUCAAAGGUUAAUGAGUACAGCAGCUCUGUCAGCAAUACAUUAAGACAGCAGUGUCACUGUUCGUCAUACUUGGAUUCAGAUAACAUUUCAUCGUCUCAUGUGCGACUGGCUUCCAAGAGCCAUCACCAAAGCCAAGGAUCGGAAACUUCUUUCUGCUUGGGAGCUGCCUGGGUGAGCAUCCCAUCACAUUUGCUAAAGAUGAAGCUAGCUUCAAGUUCGAAGAUACUAUUUUAGCAAGUCCAUUCUCUGAUUUUCAAAACAAAUGGAAUGAAGGCAGUGGUUCUAUCUGACCAUAUUGCCUACCUCCUGUCAUAAGUUUUCACUAUGACUAGCUCUGGGACAGGAUCAUCUUGCCCGCAUAUAGCUUAGCACAACUGAGACCUGACCCAUGACGAAGGUUCUGAAUCCUGAAUAUCAUAAUAGAGAGUCAAAAAACUUCUAGAUGCUCUUCUGUUACCAUUGACUGGCUGUACAUGAUCAGAUAUACAUUGCCAUAUGGCAAGAGAAAAGUCAAAACGACAGACUGACUGGAGAUUUGAACACAGGGCUGCUUGUGAGGCCACAUGUGAGAAACGUGCUUUUAAGGACAAGAGAACUAAACUGCUGGACGUACACAGGGAAAGGAAAGAGGCCACACAUACUGGCUGCAGCCAAGGAAAUUACAAUUAGAUGUUAAGAAAUUUGUUUUCACCAUGUGAGUAGUGACAGACUGGAACAGGCACCCAGGGAGACUGAGGAGACUCCAUCCUUGGGGAAGUUAAAAAAUUGACUGUACGCAGACCUGAGUAAACCAAGUUAUCUUUGCAGCACGACCUAACUUCCCAGUUGGACCUACUCUAACACGGCUGUUGGGUCAGGCAGCCUCCAGAGAGAGGCCCCUUCCAGAGUGUUAUUCCCUGAUUCUCAAAGACAGCUGCUGUGAGGCAGCUAUCUUAGAAAAGUGUCUCACAAGAAACAGGGUCUGAUCUUAACAACAGCAACAACAAAUAAAGGGUUAACUUGCAGAUGUUUCUCUCUGGGCUCCGUAUGCCAGUGUGGUAUUAAGAAAAUUUGCCCCAGAAUUGUUGUGUAUGCUGUCAAUCUGCAAAAACAUUCUUUAGUUUUAUAGUCUCAAAUGGAAGUUAUUUGGAAACACUUUACAGGAAAAGGAACAUACAGGUCUAGGUUUUUUGCUUGUACUGAUAUACUAGAGACCCCCUUCUUUACACUUGCACUGGAACAGAAUAAUUCUGAGUUGAAGAUUGUUUCUUUUUGUUUGUUUGCUUUUGUUUUUAACAUCCCUAAAAGCUUCCUAGUGUUAGAACUAACAACAAACAAAUAGAAAACUCAAACAGGAUCUGAGCUUCAUGUUACAUUUUCAUUCAGCAUCUGCAAACUGAUCUUGACAAAGCAGGGCAUUUAUUUAGAAAUAGUUUGGAUUCUAAACAAACAAGUGAAGAGUUAGAAGAUGCUCUUAAGGCAUACAAACAGCACAUUAAGUAGGCACUGACCUAGACUUGGAAAUCAUGCUCUAAUUCUCUGCACAAAUACCCUAAAGCACCUUGGUCAAGAUAUUUUGGUUUUCUCCGCCUCACUUCUCUCCCAUAAGAAGGAAAUUGAUAUCACUUUUCUGGCACUCUUUUCCUUUCUAAAUACACAGGUUCCAACAGGAAAGGAUCUCUGUCCUGUUGCAGUGAACUACAAUGCAGUCAAGUUAUGAAAAACCUGAAAGCAUGACUAUCACAUGAUGAACAGAAACAGAGAGAAAGAAAAAGAACAAGUACUCAUCUGCAACUAUAUUCUUGGUUUUACUUAAUUGAAAAGCUGGCAACUCUUGGAUGACCAAGGCUUUUCUUGAAUCCUUACGCAGUAUGAUCUGUCUGUGAGCUGUGCUGUCCAGACUGUGUCUAUGAGUAUGAAAUAAAGGUCUCCUCCCUCUGGGGUAGCUUCUUUUACAAGAAUCAACAAAUCAACAAAUCCUACCCUCACUGAGAUCCAGAUUCAGAAACACAAUCAGCAGAAACCUCAAACAAGGACAGGGCAUGGUCUCAUGUGGAGUUACGUCAUCAAUUAGUUUUGUCACAGUUUGUAUAGAUCUGCAGAGCUGGCUUUGGAUUAUUAUGCCUUAAGACACUGCGUGCAGAUAACACUUUGCAGAGUGUAAAUGUAAGCACUUAAAUAAAUGUGAAAGGCAGAGUAAGCAUAUUAUGGAAGGGAUGUUUUGUCAGUGCUGGUUUGGUUUCCAGCUUUGUUCUUGAGAACAUUAGGCCUCCAGGUGAAGAAUUCCCUCAUCUCCCCUCAAAGCAAGCCUUCUCCUUGCCUUUGUCUGUACAUUCCUAGACAUUUUAUAAUCCAAGCUGUAAUACAUACUAUCUGGAAGCAAUGGCAACAGAAAGGGCCUGCCUGCCAGUGUGUCCUGGCUGAUGUAAAAGAACAAAUCCUCCAUUGUUGCCCAAGCGCCCUAUGUCAAUACAAUAAAAUCACUGUCUUCUGUACUCAAGGUUACAUUUGUUUACGAUUACAAUGUUUAUUUCUUGCUGUGAGACUAUAAUUGCGCAUGCUCUUUCUUCUGUUAAAAACAUUUUUCCACCCCCAGCCUGUUAAUCCUUUUCCCACCCCCCACCCACUUCUCAAUGUGUAGCAGAGGAGGAAAAUUCUUUUGUGAAUAUGUAAAAUAUCAUGUUUCUUUUUUAAGCAUAUUAAUAAUAGGUUAUAACACCAUGCCUGCAGUGACAACAUCUAAAUACAAAAUGUAUUUAAGUGCUUGAUUUUUUUUUACUUAACAUAAAGGAAAUUAAAGCUGUGUAUUUUUUUUGGUUGAGAUGGUACUGAAACCACUACAAGUACCAGGAAACUUAGGUUUUAUCCCGGUUUCUCCCACUUGCCCUAUAAUUCUGUAGCAAGUGUCUCUUUCUGCUUGUGCCUUCCAACCCCAAACAGAAAAUACCAUACGAUAUUUUUUUCCAAAGUGCUCUGAAACUCAAGAAUGGAUCAAUUCAAACACGUUGUUGGUUUAGAUUAAGAUGUCCAUGUCCAAAAUUUGCAGUGUGCUCUCUAGUGCAAUCAACUGCUCAACAAACGAUGCAGGAUGCAGUACUGUCAACAUCUGUACCAGUGAAAAUCUAUCCUCCAUUAGACUCCUGCCAGAAGAAUAAUUAAAAGUUUUCUGCAGUUUCCCUUGGGAGUGAUAAGCCUCGCUUCCGUGGUUUGAUAAAAUCCUGACUGGGGUCAGGAUGAAUGAA